rnacentral:ribozyme from 1 species
CGUCGUCAGGGCGACGUUAAAUAGCCAUUAGGCCCUGAGCGUCACUUCUCUUCGGAGAAGUGGGUUGGA